ACGGAAGGCAGCAGUGGGGAAUAUUGCACAAUGGGGGAAACCCUGAUGCAGCGACGCCGCGUGAGCGAAGAAGUAUUUCGGUAUGUAAAGCUCUAUCAGCAGGGAAGAAAAUGACGGUACCUGACUAAGAAGCUCCGGCUAAAUACGUGCCAGCAGCCGCGGUAAUACGUAUGGAGCAAGCGUUAUCCGGAUUUACUGGGUGUAAAGGGAGCGCAGGCGGUGUGGCAAGUCUGAAGUGAAAGCCCGUGGCUCAACCGCGGGACUGCUUUGGAAACUGUCAUACUAGAGUAUCAGAGGGGCAAGUGGAAUUCCUAGUGUAGCGGUGAAAUGCGUAGAUAUUAGGAGGAACACCAGUGGCGAAGGCGGCUUGCUGGAUGAUAACUGACGCUGAGGCUCGAAAGCGUGGGGAGCAAACAGGAUUAGAUACCCUGGUA
rnacentral:rRNA from 1 species